rnacentral:rRNA from 1 species
AUUGAACGCUAGCGGGAUGCUUUACACAUGCAAGUCGAACGAGUGGCGGACGGGUGAGUAAUAUAUGGGAAAGUGCCCAGUAGAGGGGGAUAACUACUCGAAAGAGGGCUAAUACCGCAUACCAUUGGAACGGCCGAUAUCGGAUUAGCUAGUUGGUGGGGUAAUGGCUCACCAAGGCGACGAUCCGUAGCUGGUCUGAGAGGACGACCAGCCACAUGGGAACUGGGCCACGGUCCAGACUCCUACGGGAGGCAGCAGUGGGGAAUAGUCCGCACUGGGCGCAAGUCUGACCGAGCAAUGCCGCGUGUGUGAAGAAGGUUUUCGGGUCGUAAAGCUCUGUUGUUGGAGAGGCGUUAUCUACCGAGGAAGCCCCGGCUAACUACGUGCCAGCAGCCGCGGUAAUUC